rnacentral:rRNA from 1 species
GUAGAAAACUAUCUUUGGUUUGGCCCUNGUCUAUGUUUCUUGGAACAGGACAUCAUAGAGGGUGACAAUCCCGUCUGAUGGGGUGCCCAUUCCUAAUAAGAUGUUUUCGAAGAGUCGAGUUGUUUGGGAAUGCAGCUCAAAGUGGGUGGUAAAUUCCAUCUAAAGCUAAAUAUUGGCGAGAGACCGAUAGCGAACAAGUACUGUGAAGGAAAGAUGAAAAGAACUUUGAAAAGAGAGUGAAAAAGUACGUGAAAUUGUUGGAAGGGAAGGGUAUUCGAUCAGACUGGUA